CUUUAAAAAUCCGGAACAAGCUGAAAAUUGAAACGACACACUGUUUCCUUUCUCCGUAAUAAGAAAGGAAUAGAAGUGUGUUCGAGUCUCUCAAAUUUUCACAACAUACGAGUGUGUCUUACGAGACAUCUUCGG
rnacentral:sRNA from 1 species